GCGUAAAGAGCUCGUAGGUGGUUUGUCGCGUUGUUCGUGAAAUCUCACGGCUUAACUGUGAGCGUGCGGGCGAUACGGGCAGACUUGAGUACUGCAGGGGAGACUGGAAUUCCUGGUGUAGCGGUGGAAUGCGCAGAUAUCAGGAGGAACACCGGUGGCGAAGGCGGGUCUCUGGGCAGUAACUGACGCUGAGGAGCGAAAGCGUGGGGAGCGAACAGGAUUAGAUACCCUGGUAGUCCACGCCGUAAACGGUGGGUACUAGGUGUGGGUUUCCUUCCUUGGGAUCCGUGCCGUAGCUAACGCAUUAAGUACCCCGCCUGGGGAGUACGGCCGCAAGGCUAAAACUCAAAGAAAUUGACGGGGGCCCGCACAAGCGGCGGAGCAUGUGGAUUAAUUCGACGCAACGCGAAGAACCUUACCUGGGUUUGACAUGCACAGGACGCCGGCAGAGAUGUCGGUUCCCUUGUGGCCUGUGUGCAGGUGGUGCAUGGCUGUCGUCAGCUCGUGUCGUGAGAUGUUGGGUUAAGUCCCGCAACGAGCGCAACCCUUGUCUCAUGUUGCCAGCGGGUAAUGCCGGGGACUCGUGAGAGACUGCCGGGGUCAACUCGGAGGAAGGUGGGGAUGACGUCAAGUCAUCAUGCCCCUUAUGUCCAGGGCUUCACACAUGCUACAAUGGCCGGUACAAAGGGCUGCGAUGCCGCGAGGUUAAGCGAAUCCUUUUAAAGCCGGUCUCAGUUCGGAUCGGGGUCUGCAACUCGACCCCGUGAAGCCGGAGUCGCUAGUAAUCGCAGA
rnacentral:rRNA from 1 species